CUCAUGGGACUUCAUAGCUGCUGUAGGGAAGACACAAAAUUGUACACGUAGAAUGUAAAUUCUGAAUGUCUGAUUUGGGAUCUCUGUUACAUUUUAUUUUAAAAAAAUCAUUCUAGAAGAAGAACCUCAUUUCACUUCAUAAAUACUUUAUGUGGACCAGGGUAGGAGAAGGACAUAGAAGUAUGGGGAAGUUGUCGAAGAAACUAGCAAAAGCCAAGGCCAACAACAACAACAAGAAAGAAGAAUCAUUGGGACAGAAAAUAGAAGGGAGAGAUGCUGAAAGUGUUACUUUCAUUCCUACAACAAACCUACAACAGCACAAGGGAGGAGAAGGAGCAAGAUGAAGCAGACCAUGGAUCAACUUGUGUUCCUCCUCCACCAGUGAGGCAACGGUCUUGUAAAAAUGACAAAAAGAUUACACUUACACAAAAAACAAAAGGAAGACAUCUCUGAGGUGGUAUAUACACUGGCAAAAAUACUCCAGGAGCAGCCCAGAGUAUUCUGGCCCCAGAGUUGCCACAACAUCCCCCGCUACCUAGAGUCACCCGUUGUGAUGCCAGGCAGCUGUUCAUACAAGCUUCCUGCUGUCUCACCUGCUGCAGCGAUGACUGUGCCAGAAGGCAAAGUGGGAUAUGCAUGCCAACAGCUGUUCAGAAUUGCAAGUACAUUUGUGUGGAAUGGGAGAUUUGGAUCUUCUGA